CUACGGGAGGCUCCAGUGGGGAAUAUUGCACAAUGGAGGAAACUCUGAUGCAGCAACGCCGCGUGGAGGAUGACACUUUUCGGAGCGUAAACUCCUUUUAUAUAGGAAGAAGAUGACGGUACUAUAUGAAUAAGCGCCGGCUAACUCCGUGCCAGCAGCCGCGGUAAUACGGAGGGCGCAAGCGUUACUCGGAAUCACUGGGCGUAAAGAGCGUGUAGGCGGGUUAAAAAGUCAGAAGUGAAAUCCUAUAGCUUAACUAUAGAACUGCUUCUGAAACUCUUAAUCUAGAAUAUGGGAGAGGUAGAUAGAAUUUCUGGUGUAGGGGUAAAAUCCGUAGAGAUCAGAAGGAAUACCGAUUGCGAAGGCGAUCUACUAGAACAUUAUUGACGCUGAGACGCGAAAGCGUGGGGAGCAAACAGGAUUAGAUACCCGCGUAGUC
rnacentral:rRNA from 1 species